rnacentral:sRNA from 1 species
UGAUACCAGGGUCAAAAGGUCAUGCGUUUCAUGCUUGCAUGAAAAAGCAUGACUUUGGGACCCUGGUAUUAUGACAUUAUGAAAAAAUAUUUCAUAUAAAUAUUGAUAGAUUUGAUUUUUAUAUAUAAUAUCA